rnacentral:rRNA from 1 species
GCUGUGAGCUCGAUGAGUAGGGCGGGACACGUGGUAUCCUGUCUGAAUAUGGGGGGACCAUCCUCCAAGGCUAAAUACUCCUGACUGACCGAUAGUGAACCAGUACCGUGAGGGAAAGGCGAAAAGAACCCCGGCGAGGGGAGUGAAAAAGAACCUGAAACCGUGUACGUACAAGCAGUGGGAGCACGCUUCGGCGUGUGACUGCGUACCUUUUGUAUAAUGGGUCAGCGACUUAUAUUCUGUAGCAAGGUUAACCGAAUAGGGGAGCCGAAGGGAAACCGAGUCUUAACUGGGCGUUAAGUUGCAGGGUAUAGACCCGAAACCCGGUGAUCUAGCCAUGGGCAGGUUGAAGGUUGGGUAACACUAACUGGAGGACCGAACCGACUAAUGUUGAAAAAUUAGCGGAUGACUUGUGGCUGGGGGUGAAAGGCCAAUCAAACCGGGAGAUAGCUGGUUCUCCCCGAAAGCUAUUUAGGUAGCGCCUCGUGAAUUCAUCUCCGGGGGUAGAGCACUGUUUCGGCAAGGGGGUCAUCCCGACUUACCAACCCGAUGCAAACUGCGAAUACCGGAGAAUGUUAUCACGGGAGACACACGGCGGGUGCUAACGUCCGUCGUGAAGAGGGAAACAACCCAGACCGCCAGCUAAGGUCCCAAAGUCAUGGUUAAGUGGGAAACGAUGUGGGAAGGCCCAGACAGCCAGGAUGUUGGCUUAGAAGCAGCCAUCAUUUAAAGAAAGCGUAAUAGCUCACUGGUCGAGUCGGCCUGCGCGGAAGAUGUAACGGGGCUAAACCAUGCACCGAAGCUGCGGCAGCGACGCUUAUGCGUUGUUGGGUAGGGGAGCGUUCUGUAAGCCUG